AUCCACCCUAAAAUCAAUAAUUAUAAUAUUUAAAAUAUGUGAUGGUAGAUAUUCAAGAUAUGGAAAUCUUAAAAAUAACGAUCUUAAGAUAGUAAAUAAUAAAAAUUUAUAAUAUAGAUUUCAGUAAAUAAUAAAUAACAAAACAUUAUAAUAACAAACUUAAAUACAGAGUUCCAAUGCGUGAACUUCCGGACAGUUUCUUUCGCUAUGACCGUGUCGGAAGCGAGAGACGGUCAAGAGGACGUUGAGACAUCGAUCGCACGCGCGGAUAGCGGUAUCGAACGAGCUUAUCACAGAUCCGUGACAUAGAAACCGACCUUCUAUUCCAUUGGUCAUGUCCAAAAAAUAAAAAGUAAAAAAUAUUAUUAACAACUUUAGUUAACGCUUUCUUAGCGUAGCUGGCAACGUCACCGUUAUAAAACCGGCCGUUUCAUGAAAACGACCACCGAAUUGGAAA